GUUUUUAAAUGUUUUAUUUAAGUGUGUCAAUACUGGGUAAAAGUUCAAACUAAAUCAAAGAUAUGAUGUAUGUUCCUUUAAUAUUUGACUGGCAUUCUUAUCAGUCAAUGAGCCUGCGUGAUCGUCGCGGCGCUCUCAGUCAAGCCUUCUCUCUCUGGACAGAGGGCUGGCAACGUGCC